GACCGCGGUGGCUCAGUGGAAGAGUGCGCUAGUCGGAAAGUAGCAAACCUUACUGACACGGGUUCGAUCCCCGCCGUAGGGCG